rnacentral:rRNA from 1 species
CAGAGACUGCGAGCGUUAUUCGGAUUCACUGGGCGUAAAGGGUGCGCAGGCGGCCAUGUGUGUGAGGCGUGAAAGCCCGGGGCUUAACCCCGGAAUUGCACCUCAAACUACAUGGCUAGAGCAUUGGAGAGGGUAGCAGAAUUCAUGGUGUAGCAGUGAAAUGCGUAGAUAUCAUGAGGAAUACCAGAGGCGAAGGCGGCUACCUGGACAAUUGCUGACGCUCAGGCACGAAAGCGUGGGGAGCAAAAGGGAUUAGAUACCCCUGUAGUCCACGCCCUAAACGGUGCACACUAGGUCUUGGCGGAUUCGACCCCCCCAGGGCCCCAGCUAACGCGUUAAGUGUGCCGCCUGAGGACUACGGCCGCAAGGCUA